CUAUAGGAAUCUCUCAGCUAUAGGGUACAUUUGGGAAGAACAUACAAUUGAAGACCAUUUUCAAACUUCUAGAAGUCAUGGAAGCUCUGGGCAGCUUCUACUGUCGACCUCUGUCUCUUCUUUCUGAGCUACCUGUCUGUACUGCACCUCCAAGCUCAAACUAUUUGAGACAGACAGAAAUCUUUGAGAAGGGCCCAUGGUAAAUCCAGACCAACAAGGAUGUCCGGAUCAACAUGGAGGAUUUUGGUGAUUCCCAGCACAUUCCAUGAACCCAAGAAUUAUGCAAACCAAUUCAGCUCAACUUUUGUUUUAGUUGUGAACCUGCACAACUUGGUGAGGAACUAGAUGGCUCAGCAAAACCAGCAACUCCACUAAGAAUCCAAUUUUCCCCAUCCCUUAAUUUCACAUCUUAGCAUUGGUUUUUCAUUCGAGAAUCUCCAGUAAGUUUUGAAAACUGUGUUUCAGCCUAUAGGUGUGAUGCCUUCUGUAGACUCAGUUGUUACUCUGCUCUACUAUAGGAUGCCACCUGUGUAAGUUCCUAGCUCAGCUUGCAAAUGCUUUGGAGUCUGAAAUGAAAGACAAACAGCUUUAUUUAAUAUGCCAAAUCAGCUCAUUAGAUGGGACACUCCCAAUCAUCCACAUUGCUAAUGGCUCCUCUAUGGCACUCCUGAAUUACUAAAAUCUAUAGCCCAUCUCUGCUUCCCCAGAACCAAUCAGAAGGGGGAACACUGGGACUACUCUUCCACAGCUCUUAUGUGGCUGGUAUUCUGUCUUUCCCAUCUCUCAAGCCAGCAUCCAAUUCCUUUACUGGCAUGGAGAUCCUCUUUGUUCCCCUUGUCAUGAAUCCAAAAAUCCUGCCUGUGUCUCCUCCCUAGCCAUUGGCUGCUGGCACUUUACUUUCCCAGUUAUAAUCAGCUUGGGGCAGGGAAUCUCAGUGUCUCAAAUGCAAGAUUAUUAUGAAAUUUGGGAACAAUUUAACAUGAGUAGCAUGAGAACCAAUAAACAAUUGGGAAUAAACAGAAAAACACGGCAAAUCCAAGCACCAGGCCCUAAGUAUUGCCUUUUGGUUAUUACCCUCCAUUUACUCAUAUGGUGAAACUACGUUCAAGUUUCCAGGCAUCAGGUAUUGUGGAGGUCCAACCUAACUUUACUCAUAUUUUGUUCUUGAAAACAUAAUGACUGUCUCUAAUAAAGCUUUCUGCUUUUCAUAGUGUGCUUCUCAAAACAUAACACCUGUUCUUUACCACCAAAGAACAAAUCCAAAUGAUUGUUUAAACUAUAAUACCUAUAUUCUAUAACAGUUGA